GUCAGUCAAGACGCGAUUUGCUUCUAUUUUAUCUCUUUCUCUCUCUCUCUCUCUCUCUCUCUCUUUUUCCAUUUCUUUUUAUCGAUCUCGAAAUUCCGAACUAGUUACCAUCGAUUUUGAUUUUAACGAAAUAUUCCUUUGAAUGAAAACGAUUCGACGACUAAUGCUCACAUGAAACACCAAAGCGAUGAAAUUUCUCGAGCAAACUGCGUUAGUGGUUUUGGACGACGCAGUUGAUUCCCGCAAAUUUCUCUCUCUCUCUCUCUCCCUCUUUCUCUCUUCCUCUCGAUUCACAACGAGGGAACGAUCCGAAUCUCGUAGAAAGCAAAUUCAUGGUCGAGUAUAUGGACAACCGAGAGAAUCGUGCUACGUAUUUAGACGUACUAAGAGAGAAAGGGACAGAGAUAGUUAUAUACACACACACACACACGCAUAUAUCUAGAGAGAGAGAGAGAGAGAGAGAGAGAGAGAGAGAGAGAGAGAGAGAGAGAGAGAGAGAGAGAGAGAGAGAGAGAGAGAGAAGUUUGAAGGAAAAUAGAAACUGAGUGGUUUCGUCGUCACGGCAACGAUCCACAAGCCAAGGAAUCAUGCGGUGACAAUUUCACGGAUAACAAUCCUAGUAUUUUGGACGACAGUAUUGCAUAGUUUUGUUUCCUUGAUCUUUCUCACCGAAAUCACGUUCCGUGCUUGCACCAUCAUUUAUACAGUUUUUAAUGAAAUAAAAAAAAAAAAAAUAAAAAAGAAUAGAUACGUACCUACAUACAUACACCUAGAAGAAAAUAUGAAUGAUAAAUCGAGAUUUAUGUUUACAGAGUGUUCUUGGAAAAUUUAUCAUUCAUUUAUCCAUUCAAUGGAGUAACAAGGUCGUAAAUAGUUAUUGUGUACACAAGUACGUAAAUAUUGUUUUUAUCGUGAAUGAGAGAGAGACAGAGAGAGAGAGAGAGAAAGAGAGACAAACGCAAGUUAUUAUUUACUUAUAUACAUAUGUGAUAAACAUUUGUUAUGAAUGUUCGUCUUGUCUGUAUAAUUUUUUUUUCUUUUUUCCUUUUUUUUUUUCUCGUUUCUUUUGUAAAGUCUCUGUUGGUACAAAGUCACUUUGGUACUUACUUAUCGUGAGGUAUCUAAUAAUUGCAAUCAACAACCUUGGAUUUCUGUUUCGAAGAAGAAGUAGAAGAGGAGGAGGAGGAGGAGGAGGAGGAGGAGGCAAGGAGAAGGGAUAUGUAACUUGGAAGUCGAACGAAGUCGAAUAUACAUUUCUCGAGAAGUUUUUCAAAGAGAAACUUUUGCUCGUUUGUUCGUCGAUAGGUAUCUUUCAUUGGUUCGAGACGUAAGAGAAAGGAAAUAUAAAAAGAAGAAGAAGAAGAAGAAGAAGAAGAAGAAGAAGAAGAGAAGGAAAAAAGGAAGAAGGGCAUCAGGUGGUUUGUAAGAUGAAGUCCGUGCGCGUACUGGAGUUUGCUUACGAUCAAGAAUCUGGUCCUUGGCACGGGAUCUAAGGGAUCACCCUUGGUGGUAGCCCCUGUGGGAAAAACGUGGAACGAUUCGUCAAGGAUAGGCACCGAACACGUGUUCCUCUGGCGUGACCAAUUUAACCGGAUACUAACGUCGUUGCCCUGCGCUUUUCUCAACGAAGAAGUACCUAUUACCAAGGAGUAUCGCCAUCACCAUCGCCGCCAUCGCCACCCUCUAUCAACGAGGACGAUUCACGUUCAUUCGAAAGAAGGAACAUCAGUUGCAUGCACGCAUCUGGAUCAUUGUCGGUGAGAUCCAUUGCGAGAAAGAGAAAGAGCAGGAGGAAGAGGAGAAGGUAAAAAUCGCUUUGAAAUUCGUCCCACCGUGACUACUAGCGAAUGGAGUUAUCGUCGAGAAAUUCAUUCUCUUUCUUAGUUAGCUUAUCAUUGUUUCUCUCCUUUUCAUUCUUUUUCUUCUUCGUUUUUCUUUCUUCCUUUCUUUCUCUCUCCCUCUCUCUCCCUCUCUCUCUCUCUCUCUCUCUCUCUCUCUCUCUCUCUCUCAUUUCAAUGCAUGUUACCCAACGUGUCGAAUCGAACGACAUUCAACGACGUCCCAUUUUUCUCGUUAUUCAGAACGUAGCCCGUUUAUCAGGAUUUUUCUUUCGUAUCGAGGAGCAGGUCGUUGUAAUUAAUUAACUACGAAUUUUGUCAAGGCGACGAAAGAAUUUGAGAUCCUUUCGAAAGGUUUCGAAAGGACGAUGGAGAUGAAAAGAUCGACGAUACGUAAUAUCACUUUGACUUUACUCGAGAUAUUAAAUAGAGUAGGUGGAUAUAAAAAUGAUGAAGUAGAAAAAGAAGAAGAAAAUGAUGACGAUGACGAUGAUGAUAAUGAUGAUGAUGAUGAUGACGAUGAUGAUGAUAGAGAGGAGAGCUCGAACAAGGUAUGUACGAAUUAAUCGACCUACUGUGCGAGCAUACAAGCUGAAAAUUAUUCGGAGCAACGUUCCCUAUAGGUAAAUGCAUAUAGGAUGGAAAUGAUUUUCAAGCUUGAUUAUCGGCCGUGAGAAAGACGGACUUUCGCAUGGCCCGCUCGUUUAAUUGAAAACACAGACUCGGUUCGAGCGCCUCGAUAGGGACUACUACUAUUACCACAUAUUAUUAUUACUAUAUUCUCGAUCAUAAACUUAGAUUUCAUAAAAGCCAAGGAAGCAGCAGUAGCAGCAACGCACACAGUAACAGCUUAGUUUAUUUCGACGUUCCGUUUGAUUUAAUUGAUAGUAAUGGAUAUAGGGGCUCUAUCCGGCGAUCCGGGUGGUCCUGUCGAAAGAUUUUCUUCGAUUAUGACGUACGACGCUUAACGCUUUGAUUUGGCCCUCUUUCUUGUUAGUUUUUUUUUUUUUGUUUUUGUCUUCUUUCUUUCUUUUUAAAGAUCCUCAAAGUUUUCCCUCACCGAGAACCCCCUUUUAUUUCUUUUGAGAAUGUUAAAGCGACAUCAAGUUAGCCGGAUAUAGUUCGCACAGAAAGCGAACUAACGAAGGCCAAAUAGGCGAAGUAAAUUAGAUGUACGGUUUAAUUGUAUCGGGAUUAAAAAUUACAUAGAAGGUUCCGAAUAAUAGGCAUGGGCACGACCUUAAUCGAGUGCAUCUCGUUUAAACCCUGGUUCCAUUUAUAUAAACACACUUUCGCAAUUACCGUUAAUCGUUCCUGAAAGCAUACGUCGAGGAAAAAAAAGGUGGUGAGUACGACGUGCGAAUCGCAUACAUACGCUAUGUAUUCUUACCUAUAUGUACAUAUACCUAUAUACAUAUACCUGUAUAUAUAUAUAUAUAUAUAUACAUGUGUGUGUAUAUGUGUGUAUAUAGAGGAUCAAGAAGGAGCCUUAAUGCUGAUCACGUUCCAAGAAAUAUUUACCUGAAUUCCUGGCCUCUAAUUGUGAGUGCCAGUCGAAUCACCCACGGUAAAUCGAUCUGGCAGUUAAGUACUUUGCGUUAGCCCAAUCACGGCUCGUUUCCGGUGAAAACGACGUGGUAAUAGGUUUGCCAAAGUCCAUUUUAACGACCGACAAAUAAAUUUGUCUCCCGGCUCUUUAAACGCGCGUAAGCGAUCGCGCGAAAAGACUUGGUCAAAAGGACUUUGUCUUGGAUCUUCUCCUUUUUUUUCCUUAUAUACAUAUAUAUUUCUUUUUCCUUUUUUCCUUUCUUUUUCUUUCGCGAAAGUCAAGGGCAAGGAAAGAAAAGAAAAAAGGAAAAGAAGAAAAAUGACAGAAAAUUCUCCAGAAGAAUUUUAAUUUUAAUGGAUAUUUCGCGUAGAAGUGUACCAUUAAAAAAAAAAUGAAAAAGAAAAAAGGGACUUGCAAGGACUAUUUGGUCCAUUAGUCAAAAAUUUAUGCUCGUUGCAAUAGCUAUUGAAAGAAAUUAGUUUUUUUUUUUUUUUUUUUUUUUUUUUUU